CUUCCUUGUGCGGUGUUUCCGGGACGAUACGACAUGGGUACCUUCAAAAAAAGCGCGUACACCUUCCUUAAAGGCCGGCAACGCUCCUGUGAUUCCUCUGGUGUUGCAAGAGAGUAUGGGCGGCGGUGAUCACUUAACAACAGGUGACCCGUACGCUCGUUUGUCCUCCUAUUCCAUAAAAAAAAAAACGAAGUAGGUGUCAGUGCUACGCUAGCGCGCGGCUACUAGAUUUCUUAUAGGUUGUUCUGAAAUGAUAUUAUGGAAAAUUUAUUAAGAAGAAUUAUGUAUUCUAUUUUUGAAUUUUUUUUUAUGAUUACCUGCGAUGUGGAUUGCGAAGCGCUACAAAUCAAAAGUUAAAACUGUAACGCAAAACAAAAUGUGCGUACUUACAGUUAGAAGGUAGUCGAUAAUCGAAAAUCAAAUGCACAAUUAUCAAUUCAGUCGAUUGUUUUUCAUGCCACAAUCGCCCAUAGCGGCUAUGAAAUGUACCUACUUUUAAACUUACACGAAAAUCUUACAAUAUACUUGAGUAUAUAAUAUUUAAGCAUAAGGUAGUGAACGUGAAGGUAGUUUUGUAGAUACAGAACACUGCCUUUCUAAAUACAAAAAAAAAUAUAUAGUUUGUAUGUUCUUUUGUUAUGUCAUUUCUUAAAAAUGUUAAACCAUUAAAGAAUUUUCUAAUUCCAAAUUAUAUUGAAGAGUUUUGGUAAAUAUAGAUACAGUCUAUCCAAUCUAAUUUAUUUAUGUAAAAACCAGUUCAGAAAGAUUCCGUUAUUGACUAUAUUAGGUAUGUAUGUACAGUCAGCAUAAAAGUGCCGGCAUGUAAUUUAAUGUAUAAUAUUUGAUUUGAUUGAUACUUAAUAAGUUGCAGGAGUAAUAUUUAUUCAGAUGUCACAAAAUAUUAGCGUAAGUUUUGUUUUAACACUUAUACAAGUAUGUACUUACUUAGAUUAAGGAUUGGUCUCCGCUGCGCUCUAACUACUUACCGCACUACCUAAGAACAAUAGCUUUUUUAUUACGGCAACUAUUAGAUGCUUGUGUGCGUGGCAUCUUGACACUCAAUGGCAUCUUUCAAAUUUUGAACCAUACGCUUAGUGUUAUUUUACAUUGAAAUUAAUAUAAUACAAAAUACUUACUGAUAAUAUGUGAUCCGUGUCUUUCUUAUUUCUUGUAGUAUUCAUUUUACAAAGUUUAACAGAAAAUGUGGCACGUCAACAUCACACAUUGUUCGAGACUGGCUCGAGUACGCCCACUUGGAUGUAGUAUUCGUUGCCGCACUUUGCGACUACGGCUGCGGUUUCUAGUUGGAGCACAGCGGAGACCAAUCCUUAAUCUAAGAUCUAAUAAUACUAUAUACUCAUAUUAAAUAGUGUGAAAGAUGCCUUUUUAAAGUUGAUCAAGUGCAUAUAUUUUAAUAAAAAAUGUUUAAUUGUUUACCAAAUGAUACAUUAGCAAAGGUUCAAUUAAUUGCUGUAGUUGGUUUGCUAGUUGUUAUACCAACAUAAAAGACUGUAAUUUGUAAAACUACCCACAGCCCCAGCUAUGACCUCUAUAACUGACAGUUUGGAAUAAUAAAUCAGUGGUAAUUUUUUUUUACAAACUAAAAUAUCUCCAUACUCCGUAUACCGUCUCUGCAUGUGUGUUCUACGAAUGUCUGGUGCACAAAGUCAAAUUAUUACAAAUUCUUAAAAUCUUAUGCAAAUAUAUCUCAAUACAGUUAUUGGAUAACCAAUUAACAUUAAUCAUGUAACUUAACGUUAAAUUAAUAUUAACAGUGACCAAAUAGUUAAUUAAAAAUUAAUAAAACUGAAAUGUUUCUUUUUGAAACUCCGUACUUCAUAUUUUUAUAAUGGCAAGCUUCUUGUACAAGCACUUGUACUUAUAUGUAACUGUUGAUAAAUAUUAUUUUUGGAUCAAAAUAUAAGCUUGUGAAGUUA